UAACCUGCCCAAGAGAUCGGGAUAACACCUGGAAACAGAUGCUAAUACCGGAUAACAACAGAUGAUGCCUAUCAACUGUUUAAAAGAUGGUUCUGCUACCACUCUUGGAUGGACCUGCGGUGCAUUAGCUAGUUGGUAGGGUAACGGCCUACCAAGGCGAUGAUGCAUAGCCGAGUUGAGAGACUGAUCGGCCACAUUGGGACUGAGACACGGCCCAAACUCCUACGGGAGGCAGCAGCU
rnacentral:rRNA from 1 species